ensembl:lncRNA FAM13A-AS1 FAM13A antisense RNA 1
AUACAUAUUUCUAAAGAUUUGUUGCAUGAAUGAUAUCUUAUGCUGCUUCUAAAACACUAUGAUUUUUCUAAGAUAGUUUCCUUUUCCCCUUCAUUACCAAUGCUUUAGAAGACUUAAAUCUUCUGCAUAGGCAUUUCUGGAUUUGCCUACCCACCUACCAACCUUCCCUCCCCUGAAAACUUUCAGAUGCUUCUUCAUUGUUUUAGUCAUUUACCACUUUAAUGAAAUUAUCUGGCAACUUUAUUGUGGUGGGUGGGGAUCAAUGACGGUGUAAUGAGGCAAUUAGCAAAUUCUGAUAGUUCCAUCUACUCCAUGUGAAAGUCUCUUGAUGUUUUAUAUGGUACUCUUAUUAAUAAUCCCAGAGAGCAGGGGUUGGCAAACUAUGGCCCAUGGGCUAAAAUGGUUUUUACAUUUUAAAAGGGUUGAAAACUUUAAAACUGGAAGGAUACAUGACAGAGACUGGAUGGCCUACAAUGCCUAACAUAUUAUCUAGCCCUUUACAGAAAACAACUGACCAAUCCUUAUGAGACCAGACUUGCAAAAAUUACAGUAACAGAGUGAAAAACCUUCUUGAAGUGUUAGGAGGAACUUGAGUCAUAAUUUGAUGUUGAAUCAGAGAGAACAACUGUUUGGGCUUAUUUGCCUCAGAGUAUUUGCCCAGCCUCUGGUAACUAUCAUUCUAUUCUCUACCUCCAUGAGAGCAACUUUCUUAGCUCCCACAUGUGAAUGAGAACAUGCAAUAUUUGUCUUUCUGUGCCUGGCUUAUUUCAGUUAACAUCGUGACCUCCAGUUCCAUCCAUGUUGCUGCAAAUGGAUUCAGAAUCCAUGGCUGGAAGAGGUAGUAAGGCCAUUGGGAGGGCAUGCCUCUCCUCAGCCCACCCCCACCCUGUGUGGGUCUCCAUUCUGAAAUUUCCAUUCAGAUGACCCGGUCCUAGGCAGGGACCAAAAUUCCUUGUCAGCUGAGGAAGUCCUGAAGAAACAUCCUGAAGAUGAUGACUGCACUGCCAUCGUGGGCAGAUGCAGCUUCCAUCUACCUGAGGGCUGAAGGGGAAAACCUUUCACACACGUGAGGAAGGCGCAGCUCUGUGGAAAGGUCACUAGAAUGGCAGCGGCAGCAAAUAGGGCUCCAAUGCACGUUUGCAGUUAACUGGGUCCAAGGAGAGCAUGGCCCUCCACAGCAAGUUUGCUCUAUAGAAUAAAGUCCUGAGCUUGUUUUUAUCACAGUUAGACAGAGAAUGGUCUCUUGUUUCUCAGUUAUCCAGGGAAGAACAGUGUAUAUUCUCUGUAGAUGAGUGUUGUCUAAUGUAGUGAUUAAUCUCUGCUAGUGUUAGGAAAGCUCCACUACUGUGUGUGUGUGUGCGUGCAUGCGCGUGCGCAUGUGCACAUACUGCAGUCUUGACUUUCCAAUUACAAAAUGCCUAAGUCAGGUCACAUUGUCUUCUUCCAGCCAGUUUCUAAGGCAGGCAAUGGAAACAGGAGCCGAUGCCAAAUGGUCUAGAGGCAGAAGGGCUGCAUGCUUUGCAGGGCCAGCCCCAAGGCUGCCUUCCAGAGCUGCACUUUCUCUGGGGACAGUAAACUCUCACCGCAGCUGCCAGCCCCCUGUGCUUGGCCAUGCCCCUCACAUGGACUUGGAAUCAGUGUCUCUCUUGCUGAUGAGCACCUCCAGGAGCCUCAGUUUCGCCUUUAUGUGCUUAUAUUCACUGUAUUCUUCAGCCAUAGGAGUGCGGUCUUCCUUCUGGACAUUUCUAAUGCAAAUAA